rnacentral:rRNA from 1 species
CUGGUGGCGAGUGGCGAACGGGUGAGUAAUAUAUCGGAACAUACCCAGUAGUGGGGGAUAACUAUCCGAAAGGAUAGCUAAUACCGCAUACGAUCUGUGGAUGAAAGCAGGGGAUCUUCGGACCUUGUGCUAUUGGAAUGGCCGAUAUCUGAUUAGCUAGUUGGUAGGGUAAAAGCCUACCAAGGCGACGAUCAGUAGCUGGUCUGAGAGGACGACCAGCCACACUGGAACUGAGACACGGUCCAGACUCCUACGGGAGGCAGCAGUGGGGAAUUUUGGACAAUGGGGGCAACCCUGAUCCAGCAAUGCCGCGUGAGUGAAGAAGGCCCUCGGGUUGUAAAGCUCUUUUGUCAGGGAAGAAACGGAGUUCUCUAAUAUAGGAUUCUAAUGACGGUACCUGAAGAAUAAGCACCGGCUAACUACGUGCCAGCAGCCGCGGUAAUACGUAGGGUGCAAGCGUUAAUCGGAAUUACUGGGCGUAAAGCGUGCGCAGGCGGUUUUGUAAGUCUGAUGUGAAAUCCCCGGGCUCAACCUGGGAACUGCAUUGGAGACUGCAAGGCUAGAGUGUGUCAGAGGGGGGUAGAAUUCCACGUGUAGCAGUGAAAUGCGUAGAGAUGUGGAGGAAUACCGAUGGCGAAGGCAGCCCCCUGGGAUAACACUGACGCUCAUGCACGAAAGCGUGGGGAGCA